rnacentral:rRNA from 1 species
AGAGUUUGAUCCUGGCUCAGGAUGAACGCUAGCUACAGGCUUAACACAUGCAAGUCGAGGGGAAACGAUAGAGAAAGCUUGCUUUUUCUAGGCGUCGACCGGCGCACGGGUGAGUAACGCGUAUCCAACCUGCCCACCACUUGGGGAUAACCUUGCGAAAGUAAGACUAAUACCCAAUGACGUCUCUAGAAGGCAUCUGAAAGGGAUUAAAGAUUUAUCGGUGAUGGAUGGGGAUGCGUCUGAUUAGCUUGUUGGCGGGGUAACGGCCCACCAAGGCAACGAUCAGUAGGGGUUCUGAGAGGAAGGUCCCCCACAUUGGAACUGAGACACGGUCCAAACUCCUACGGGAGGCAGCAGUGAGGAAUAUUGGUCAAUGGGCGAGAGCCUGAACCAGCCAAGUAGCGUGCAGGAUGACGGCCCUAUGGGUUGUAAACUGCUUUUAUAAGGGAAUAAAGUGAGCCUCGUGAGGCUUUUUGCAUGUACCUUAUGAAUAAGGACCGGCUAAUUCCGUGCCAGCAGCCGCGGUAAUACGGAAGGUCCGGGCGUUAUCCGGAUUUAUUGGGUUUAAAGGGAGCGUAGGCUGGAGAUUAAGCGUGUUGUGAAAUGUAGAUGCUCAACAUCUGCACUGCAGCGCGAACUGGUUUCCUUGAGUACGCACAAAGUGGGCGGAAUUCGUGGUGUAGCGGUGAAAUGCUUAGAUAUCACGAAGAACUCCGAUUGCGAAGGCAGCUCACUGGAGCGCAACUGACGCUGAAGCUCGAAAGUGCGGGUAUCGAACAGGAUUAGAUACCCUGGUAGUCCGCACGGUAAACGAUGGAUGCCCGCUGUUGGUCUGAAUAGGUCAGCGGCCAAGCGAAAGCAUUAAGCAUCCCACCUGGGGAGUAC